rnacentral:rRNA from 1 species
UACGUAGGUGGCAAGCGUUGUCCGGAAUUAUUGGGCGUAAAGCGCGCGCAGGCGGCCUCUUAAGUCUGAUGUGAAAGCCCCCCGGCUCAACCGGGGAGGGCCAUUGGAAACUGGGAGGCUUGAGUAUAGGAGAGAAGAGUGGAAUUCCACGUGUAGCGGUGAAAUGCGUAGAGAUGUGGAGGAACACCAGUGGCGAAGGCGACUCUUUGGCCUAUAACUGACGCUGAGGCGCGAAAGCGUGGGGAGCAAACAGG